CCUACGGGAGGCAGCAGUGAGGAAUAUUGGUCAAUGGGCUUACGCCUGAACCAGCCAAGUCGCGUGAGGGAAGACUGCCCUAUGGGUUGUAAACCUCUUUUGUCAGGGAGCAAUUGGCGCUACGUGUAGCGUUAUCGAGAGUACCUGAAGAAAAAGCAUCGGCUAACUCCGUGCCAGCAGCCGCGGUAAUACGGAGGAUGCGAGCGUUAUCCGGAUUGAUUGGGUUUAAAGGGUGCGUAGGCGGAAUGCCAAGUCAGCGGUAAAAUCGCGGGGCUCAACCUCGCUCCGCCGUUGAAACUGGCGUUCUUGAGUGGGCGAGAAGUAUGCGGAAUGCGUGGUGUAGCGGUGAAAUGCAUAGAUAUCACGCAGAACUCAGAUUGCGAAGGCAGCAUACCGGCGCCCAACUGACGCUGAAGCACGAAAGCGUGGGUAUCGAACAGGAUUAGAUACCCCAGUAGUC
rnacentral:rRNA from 1 species